rnacentral:rRNA from 1 species
UACGUAGGGUGCGAGCGUUGUCCGGAAUUAUUGGGCGUAAAGAGCUCGUAGGCGGUGUGUCACGUCGGCCGUGAAAACCUGCAGCUUAACUGUGGGCGUGCGGUCGAUACGGGCAUCACUGGAGUUCGGCAGGGGAGACUGGAAUUCCUGGUGUGGCGGUGAAAUGCGCAGAUAUCAGGAGGAACACCGGUGGCGAAGGCGGGGUCUCUGGGCAGUAACUGACGCUGAGGAGCGAAAGCGUGGGGAGCGAACAGG